ACGCUCGACACCUACGGAGGCAGCAGUAGGGAAUCUUCCACAAUGGACGCAAGUCUGAUGGAGCAACGCCGCGUGAGUAGAAGAAGGUUUUCGGAUCGUAAAGCUCUGUUGUUGGUGAAGAAGGAUAGAGGUAGUAACUGGCCUUUAUUUGACGGUAAUCAACCAGAAAGUCACGGCUAACUACGUGCCACAGCCGCGGUAAUCUGAGCGGGCUGGCAAGGC
rnacentral:rRNA from 1 species